rnacentral:rRNA from 1 species
AGUCGUAACUAUAACGGUCCUAAGGUAGCGAAAUUCCUUGGAAUUUAUUUAUUUCUC